rnacentral:lncRNA from 1 species
GACCAUUUAUUUCCCCUUAUAGACCAUUUCUUUCCCCUACAGUUUAAGGUCAGACCAUUUAUUUCCCCUUAUAGACCAUUUCUUUCCCCUACAGUUUAGCUCAGACCAUUUAUUUUUCCCAUCAGACUCAGUUCUGUCUUGCUGCUCCACCUCGUUCACUGCAGUGGUGACACACUCCCAAGAUACCUGUUUGGCUGUGUUUGUCAACCCACUAUUUAGUCCACCUGUCUUCAAUCUCCUCUACCAUCGCUGUGAUCUCGUCUUCCACAAAGUUAGCUUUUCUCUUUUGGUCCAUGGCUAUUCCUGACUGAACCCUCAUCUGUUCUAGCAUUCUAUAAGGGGGAAAUCGCUGAUUGUAAGGCACGUUCAGGUGCCGUCAAUUUGAAGUUAAUUUGAGAUUUAUAGAUCACAGGAGCUUAAGUUACAAAUGGGCUUCUUAGAACCUGCGUCAGCAAAGGUUAUUUAUGCUCAGUAUCUUUUCUGACGCUAUUGAUCAUACGACUAAAUUCAGGUAUAAAUCUAAGAACAUAUUUUCACCUGGAGCAUGGUGUUCAUGACAACUGGACCGUUGUCAAACAGUUCCAUGAUUAGUAAGAAUUAUUAGGACAGAGUUAUAGGACAACUGUUCAACCACUAUUAUAGUUCUAUGAUUAGUGAGGAUCAGGACUACUGUUUAACCCCUAUUACAGUUCCAUGAUUAGUGAGGAUCAGGAUAGAUUUAUAGGACUACUGUUUAACCCCUAUUAUAGUUCUAUGAUUAGUGAGGAUCAGGGUAGAGUUAUAGGACUAUUACAGUUCCAUGAUUAGUGAGGAUCAGGAUAGAUUUAUAGGACUACUGUUU